GUGCCAGCAGCCGCGGUAAUACGUAGGCAGCGAGCGUUGUUCGGAGUUACUGGGCGUAAAGGGUGUGUAGGCGGUUCGGUAAGUCUGGUGUGAAAUCUCCCGGCUCAACUGGGAGGGUGCGCCGGAAACUGCCAAACUAGAGUGCGGGAGAGGAAAGUGGAAUUCCUGGUGUAGCGGUGAAAUGCGUAGAUAUCAGGAGGAACACCGGUGGUGUAGACGGCUUUCUGGACCGUAACUGACGCUGAAACACGAAAGCGUGGGUAGCAAACAGGAUUAGAUACCCUGGUAGUCC
rnacentral:rRNA from 1 species